GUCUGCUUGUGGCUUCCAUAGCUGCCUUAUCCAUCCAUGGAAAUCAGAGGAUUCUUACCUAUUGUGCAUGUGGCUUCCAUUGGGCUAAGGGAGCUAUAUUUUGGAGACGAAGGAAAUUUGGGAAGUUGCUGAUUGUGGUGGCCCUGUAUCACCGUUGACAGACUUUAGCGACAGUGAGUCAGUUGUGACUGAAUGAAGAAGAAUUCCACUAUGAUGUGUUGAUGUGUGUUGGUGUUAAUGUUCCACUCCUGUGUAUGUUAGAGAGACACAAGUGGUCCUUGUGACAGUGGGAAGGAUACUGCCCCACCAUAACUACAUUUUGAAGUAACGUGUACAUAAGUGAGCCAUAACAUUAGGGUUUUAACAUGAGAGGCUGCCACAUCACGUUAUGGAGACUCAAACUUGGUAAUUUAUUAAAAAUGGCGAUCAAG